rnacentral:rRNA from 1 species
AUUGAACGCUGGCGGCAGGCUUAACACAUGCAAGUCGAGCGGUAACAGAGAGAAGCUUGCUUCUCUGCUGACGAGCGGCGGAAGGGUGAGUACUGCAUAGGAAUAUUCCUAGGAGUGGGGGAUAAGUUGCCGAAAGGUAUACUAAAUCCGCAUACGUCCUACGGGAGAAAGGAGGGGACCUUCGGGCCGUUCGCUAUUAGAUGAGCCUAGGUCGGUUUAGUUAGGUGGUGAGGUAAUGGCUCACAAAGACCGCGAUCCGGAACUGGACUGAGGGGGUGAACAGUCAAACUGGAACUGAGACACGGGCCAGACUCAUACGGGAGGCAGCAGUGGGGAAUAUUGGACAAUGGGGGGAACCCUGAUCCAGCCAUGCCGCGUGUGUGAAGAAGGUCUUAGGAUUGUAAAGCGCUUUAGGUUGGAGGGAAGAGCAGUUAACUAAUAUUGGACUGUUUUGACGGUACCGACAGAAUAAGCACCGGCUAACUUCGUGCCAGCAGCCGCAGUAA